GGCGGGAGGGGCCGGCCGCGGUGUACAGAGUGGAAGGUGGCCGGCGGUGCAAACGGCUUUUCGUUAUGGAGUUUGAUCCCACGAUGCAGGAGGGGCUGCGGAACAGCAGCGCCCGUUUCAUGGCAUCCAUGACCCGCAUCAUUGAAGAGUAUAGUCAUCCCUUCAGGGAUGACGUACUGAUUUCCAUCGACUCUUUGACGUACGAUACACCUGAGGGUAAGAACUCCUUAAGCUACAAUGUUUACAUACUGUAUGUGUAGACUGAGUAAAGCAUGUAAGUGUUGGCAGCUGCAGAAUAUUACAGUGUGACGAAUACUGACUUUUUUUCACUAAGAUACGAUAAAUCAUAUGUAGACUUUGGUAUAGUACCAAGACUUUACUCCCAUGUGCAUUAUUAGUCUAUCGUGUGGUCCAUUCUAGAUAAGACAAUGGUUAUUAGCAGAGUUCAUGGUAUAAAUGGGUAAUGUUUGGAUGACUUGAAGGAAGAAAAGAAAUGCAGACAUUAGCAGGAGAUGAUAUGCAUGAAUGGAUUAUGUAUUUUCAUCUCAACUUAGUAUUCUCAAUAAUGCUCUGAUAAAUUACUGCUGUGCCAAACAUCAGGGUGGAGUAGGUAGACACAGUUUUUAGAUUUCAUCUACCAACAGACCCAGGCUUGUUCGUAAAGACACAUCCACUAUUCCUCUGAGCAUAAACCUAAACUGUGUAGACCCAUGACAGUAUUUAUCCAGUUUUUCAUUGUAAUGGUUGAUCCACAUUCUUCAAUGUUGAACGGCGGAUCCCGUCCAGGCUCUGCGCGAGAGAAUUGCUCGCUGUGAGGGCGAGGUCCCCGCCGGCUCCAUAUCGCGCCUUCUCUCCACGUGGGCGCCGCAGAGGAAAAGCCGCUGCUGCCCUGGCCCCUCUGUCUGCAGCACAGCUGCCCAGGAGCGGCCAAGGGAACCGAGUUCCUUGCGAGCCCUGCCAAGACAGCAGCGCCCUGGUCGCCAAUUCCAGCCGCGCGUUCCCGGCCUCGUGGCCGCUCCCGGCGCUGGUGUCGGCCGCGUGGUUCCUCGCCGUGCCGGACGGGCCCGCGGCGC
rnacentral:lncRNA from 1 species